AUGCGAUAACUAGUGUGAAUUGCAGAAUUCAGUGAAUCAUCGAGUCUUUGAACGCAACUUGCGGCCGCCGGCAUUCCGGCGGCCAUGCCUGUCCGAGCGCCACUACAACCCCUCAGGCCCCGUGCCUGGCGUUGGGGGGCUACCCUAACCUUAGGGUGGCCCCCCGAAACCUAGUGGCAGCGGCGCCCGCGGCGCGACGUGUGUAGUAAUUUCACUCUCACGAAGCCCCGGCGUCGCCCGCCGACAAGAACCCCAACCUCUCAUCAGGUUGGCCUCGGAUCAGGUAGGAUUACCCGCUGAACUUAA
rnacentral:misc_RNA from 1 species